AAUGUUUUCAGUGCUUUUGUACAAUGCUUCUCCAAGAGGAACAGUCAGUGCAGUGCAGAGUUGUUACCUUCCACCGGUCUUAGGCUAGACUUAUUAGUAAUAACUGUUUUGAGGUUUUCAGAUGAACAUCAUAGGUCACAGCUGUGUAUAAAUCAGAAGCUGGAUUUCCCAUAUUUAAAUUAAAAACCAUUAUCUCUUACAUCAUAUGUUCAAGAAUCACCUUUAGUAAUUUUUUUGUGUGAAGGAAGUAAAUAUCACAGAUAUUUUAAAGAAUGUUUUUCAUCCAGAGUUCUGUGGUCUAAAUAUGUUUGACAUUUCUUUCCCCCACUGCCACAUUCUUGCACUUGAGAGACUGCUUUUAAUGUUUCAAGCUCUCUCUUUGAAGCUUGCUGUACUUUUUCUCCCACGUGGCCCUCUGGCUUAUAACCUGCAUAUGUGCUGUGCUAAAUUGCGGUGCAUGUUCUUCACAGAUUUGAGUUGAAAUGAAACAGCUUGUUUUCAAUCUCUGUGUUUAGGGAACUGAAUGAGACUGCAUAUAUGUUCACAGCACUCUUAAUUCAUAGCUGAGGAGCAUGAGGAAGUGAAUGUCAUCUUAAGAUGUGGUAAGUUAAUUUAAGUGAUAAAUGAAAAUUGCCUCUUCCUUUUUAUUCUAAAAUAAACCAGCCAAAUGUAGUCACAAGGAAACACAUGCAAGAGCCCGGAAGACACCGUUGCUUUCCUGGACUGCACUUCUUCUGAGGCAUGGAGUGAACCCCAGCAGACAGAUAUCUAGUUCUACAGAUCUGCAGUGCAGCCUUCUACUUCUCUACUAGAGUCAAGUCUUAUUGGGUCCAGUGGUACUUCCAGAUGGAAAACAUAUCCAGAGGACCAUGAUGUGAACACCAGACCAGAAAUUAUGGGCAGGUCUGUACCUUAAAAUUGAGAAGCAUGCAGCUCAGCGUAGAGGAAAACAAGGGGGCAGAGCAAUGCAGACUCUGAAGCACAGGUAACAUGAAUCUAGAGAAGAGCAUAUUGAUGUCACAGGCCAUGGAAGAACAUGGAAGACAAAAGAUGAGUUGAAGAUUCCAGUCUGAGUAAGUUGCAAGGAAAAAAGCAGGAACAAUAUCCAUUGUAGUUUUAGAUACGAAAAAUAUUUGUGUGUCUCUUCUCUGAAUGGUUACUAUAACCUGAUUCACAUUCACGGGAUUGAUUGAUAGGACUCGGAGAAGACAGGCAACAAUGGAAUAUAUUUCAUGAAAGUGACCACUUCUUUUUCAAAGCUGUAUGGAAUGACAAUGUGAAUGGCUGUAUUGAUCUCUUUUCCUUUUAUUUUUACUCUCUUCCAAACCAUGAUCUUGUUGGCUGGCUUGAUUUGUUCAGAGUACACAAUCUUCUAUCAUUGUAAGCCUUUAAAUUAUAUUUAAUUAAUUAAAUGUUUUUUAAAUUUCA